UACGGAGGGUCCAAGCGUUGUUCGGAAUCAUUGGGCGUAAAGCGCGUGUAGGCGGCUUGGUAAGUCGGGUGUGAAAGCCCGGGGCUCAACCCCGGAAUUGCAUUCGAAACUGUCAGGCUAGAGUCUCGGAGAGGAAGGCGGAAUUCCCGGUGUAGAGGUGAAAUUCGUAGAUAUCGGGAGGAACACCAGUGGCGAAGGCGGCCUUCUGGACGAUGACUGACGCUGAGACGCGAAAGCGUGGGGAGCAAAC
rnacentral:rRNA from 1 species